GAAGAACCGUACCGAAACUGUACCGAACCAUGACUUAAAAACCAAGAUUAGGCUACUCCUCAAAUUCUUAUUAAGCAAAAGUUGGAAGUGGGUGGAAAGGAAACGUCUACUUGGUGUUUAUACAUUACAGAUGGCACAGAAGGCUCUUCUCAACCUGCUCCCUACUUUCACCACAAAUCACAAUAUCAUCUGCAAACA